ACGCUGGCGGCGUGCCUAAUACAUGCAAGUCGAGCGAAUGGAUUAAGAGCUUGCUCUUAUGAAGUUAGCGGCGGACGGGUGAGUAACACGUGGGUAACCUGCCCAUAAGACUGGGAUAACUCCGGGAAACCGGGGCUAAUACCGGAUAACAUUUUGAACUGCAUGGUUCGAAAUUGAAAGGCGGCUUCGGCUGUCACUUAUGGAUGGACCCGCGUCGCAUUAGCUAGUUGGUGAGGUAACGGCUCACCAAGGCAACGAUGCGUAGCCGACCUGAGAGGGUGAUCGGCCACACUGGGACUGAGACACGGCCCAGACUCCUACGGGAGGCAGCAGUAGGGAAUCUUCCGCAAUGGACGAAAGUCUGACGGAGCAACGCCGCGUGAGUGAUGAAGGCUUUCGGGUCGUAAAACUCUGUUGUUAGGGAAGAACAAGUGCUAGUUGAAUAAGCUGGCACCUUGACGGUACCUAACCAGAAAGCCACGGCUAACUACGUGCCAGCAGCCGCGGUAAUACGUAGGUGGCAAGCGUUAUCCGGAAUUAUUGGGCGUAAAGCGCGCGCAGGUGGUUUCUUAAGUCUGAUGUGAAAGCCCACGGCUCAACCGUGGAGGGUCAUUGGAAACUGGGAGACUUGAGUGCAGAAGAGGAAAGUGGAAUUCCAUGUGUAGCGGUGAAAUGCGUAGAGAUAUGGAGGAACACCAGUGGCGAAGGCGACUUUCUGGUCUGUAACUGACACUGAGGCGCGAAGCGUGGGGAGCAACAGGAUUAGAUACCCUGGUAGUCCACGCCGUAAACGAUGAGUGCUAAGUGUUAGAGGGUUUCCGCCCCUUAGUGCUGAAGUUAACCGCAUUAAGCACUCCGGCCCGGGGAGUACGGCCGC
rnacentral:rRNA from 1 species